GUGUGCGUAGCUCAGUGGUUAGAGCAUCCUUCCGGAUUGAGGCAGUCGUGGGUUUGAAUCCCAUUGCACACA
rnacentral:tRNA from 1 species